rnacentral:rRNA from 1 species
ACGGGAGGCAGCAGUGGGGAAUAUUGCACAAUGGGCGAAAGCCUGAUGCAGCGACGCCGCGUGAGUGAAGAAGUAUUUCGGUAUGUAAAGCUCUAUCAGCAGGGAAGAAAAAUGACGGUACCUGACUAAGAAGCACCGGCUAAAUACGUGCCAGCAGCCGCGGUAAUACGUAUGGUGCAAGCGUUAUCCGGAUUUACUGGGUGUAAAGGGAGCGCAGGCGGUACGGCAAGUCUGAUGUGAAAGCCCGGGGCUCAACCCCGGUACUGCAUUGGAAACUGUCGAACUAGAGUGUUGGAGGGGUAAGCGGAAUUCCUAGUGUAGCGGUGAAAUGCGUAGAUAUUAGGAGGAACACCAAUGGCGAAGGCGGCUUACUGGACGAUAACUGACGCUGAGGCUCGAAAGCGUGGGGAGCAAACAGGAUUAGAUACCCUGGUA